rnacentral:rRNA from 1 species
UGGGGAAUAUUGCACAAUGGGCGAAAGCCUGAUGCAGCAACGCCGCGUGAGUGAUGAAGGCCUUCGGGUUGUAAAGCUCUGUCUUUUGGGACGAUAAUGACGGUACCAAAGGAGGAAGCCACGGCUAACUACGUGCCAGCAGCCGCGGUAAUACGUAGGUGGCAAGCGUUGUCCGGAUUUACUGGGCGUAAAGGAUGCGUAGGCGGAUUUUUAAGUGAGAUGUGAAAACCCUAAGCUUAACUUGGGGACUGCACUUCAUACUGGAAAUCUAGAGUGCGGGAGAGGAGAAUGGAAUUCCUAGUGUAGCGGUGAAAUGCGUAGAGAUUAGGAAGAACACCAGUGGCGAAGGCGAUUCUCUGGACCGUAACUGACGCUGAGGCAUGAAAGCGUGGGUAGCAAACAGGAUUAGAUACCCUGGUAGUCCACGCCGUAAACGAUGAGUACUAGGUGUAGGAGGUAUCGACCCCUUCUGUGCCGCAGUUAACACAAUAAGUACUCCGCCUGGGAAGUACGAUCGCAAGAUUAAAACUCAAAUGAAUUGACGGGGUCAUAGCUGUUUUCCU